rnacentral:rRNA from 1 species
GCCGCGGUAUCCUAACCGUGCGAAGUAGCGUAAUCACUUGUUCUUUAAAUGAGGACUAGUAUGAAUGGCACCACGAGGGUUCUACUGUCUCCUUUUUUAAAUCAGUGAAACUAAUCUCCCCGUGAAGAAGCGGGGAUUUUUUUAUAAGACGAGAAGACCCUAUGGAGCUUUAAACAAACAUCAUUUGCUGCACAUAACUCUUUUUCCUUCAUUAAAUAUAGCAUUAUGACCUUUAGUUUUUGAUUGGGGUGAUCACGGAGUAAAAUGAAACCUCCACGCCGAAAGGGUUAAUACCCUGAGCAAAAAGCCACAACUUUAAGCACUAAAAAAUUAACGUAAUUUGACCCAAUAUUUUGAUCAACGGACCAAGUUACCCUAGGGAUAACAGCGCAAUCCACUUCAAGAGCUCCUAUCGACAAGUGGGUUUACGACCUCGAUGUUGGA